rnacentral:lncRNA from 1 species
GCCUUCAUAACUCAACCACUCAAUAUAGUUCAAUUCUUUUAUCUUCCAUUGUCUAAGAAUAAAUGACCAAUAUCUUACUUCUUCAUUCAUUAUCUUCAUCAAAAUUACUCUCAUUUAUAUGUCACGUGAAGGAGAAACCAAACCCUGACUUGUUCUUUUCCAACAUCAACACUAUCGCAAAGCUUUUCUGGACUCCGUAGUGGUGCAUUGAAACAACAAAAAGCAAUUUCAUAUUCUCCACAUCGAGAGUUUUGUCCUACAUUUUUUUCGUUUUCCAGUUUCACCAACAUUCACGAACACCCGACGGCGAUAGCGUUACGAUAAAUGUUUUCCGAUCAACCUAACAUUCUUUGUUCAUUUUGGUCUGAACCUGUCAUAAUUAAAGUUAGAUGCUGAUGCACUUUUAAUUUUAAUUUCAGUGUUGUUGUUAUCCGUAAGCACCGUUUCGUGUCAUUCGUGUUG